UAUAUUUUAGUAUAAGAGGUAUAGGGGUUUUUGUAACCCCAGGGGAAAGUUUAAAUCUUUCAGAUAUAA
rnacentral:tRNA from 1 species